rnacentral:lncRNA from 1 species
CUAACUAUAUGUAUAAUAAUUACACGAGGCUAUUAUAUGGCAAUCACAAAAUUGGUUCUCCUUUGGUGUAGAGAGAUACAAUACAAGCUGCUUCAAACUUCGCUCGUAGGAACCAUUUACCACCUCGUUUGCAAGAUCAGAUGCUUGCACAUUUAUGCUUGAAGUACCGAACAGACUCUGAGGGGCUUCAACAGCAAGAGACUCUUGAUGCACUCCCAAAAGCAAUUAGAUCUAGUAUAUCACACUUCCUUUUCUACUCUCUUAUGGAUAAAGUCUACCUCUUUCGCGGAGUAUCCAAUGACUUGCUUUUCCAGCUGGUAAAAACUAUUUAAAAAGCAUAUUCCUAUCCCAUUUAAAAGAUUCAUUCAUUCAUCUCGUUUCUUACAUGUAGGUCUCAGAAAUGAAAGCAGAGUACUUCCCACCAAAAGAAGAUGUAAUCUUGCAGAACGAAGCGCCAACAGACUUCUACAUCCUUGUGAACGGUACUGCGGUAAUAAUCUUUUACAAAACUCUCUACGGUUUGUUGAAUAGAAAUAUAUAUUAUAAGAAUGCAAGAUGAUUUUACCUCUUUGCACACUUUUGUUAUGGUACAGGACUUGGUUGUUCAAGAUGGUGGAACAGAAAAUGUAAGUCAGCAUUUUAUUUUUAUUACUUUUUUUUAUUUAUAAAGUGUGGAGUUGAGAAUUCAUAUAGAGUGGUUAUGUGGAGAAUUUCAGGCUGUGAACCUAAGAAUUUCUCACAAAUAAAUAUGUUUGAAAGAUUUCAAUAAAUAACACAAUAACAUUUUACUUUUUCGUAAAUUAUAAUAUAUCGUACAGAUGUUACUUUAUGUCAAAAUGUAUCUAUUUGCUUAACUUUGUCAAGUUGCACAGCUUUUUGGAUUAUUUUGUCUUUAUUAUUUUUUAUUGUAUCUCUUAGAAAAGAGAUUAUAGUAUAAUCAUUUUUUGUUAUUUGAUUUACCAGACAAUUGUAGCUCCUUUUUAUUCAAUAUUUAGAAUAUUCAAAUCCUAGUUCCCUAUCGUUCUCAUUUGACAGUCAACAAACAAGAUCUUAUAAAUGCGAAGGCAAAUGUAGAAAAUUCAAAGCGUUCUUUAUCACAUUAGUUGAUUGGAUAAUUGGUUAAAGCCCCUUUGCUUUUGACCAUAACAUGUAAAUGAACACGUGAAUGUGGGGAAAAAUAAUAAAUGAUAUGUUGAAUGUGCAGAAUUCAAUGCAUUGAUUUCAACAACGGAUGCAAACUGAGCAAAUAAGAUACGUAAUAAAAAGUAGAAAUACUUAUAAUUCAUGUUUCAUAUUCAUAGCAUCAUCAAACAAUAACACUUUGAGGCUACCAAGUACCAAACAGUAACAAAAACUAUGGAAUGGUGAUUAUUGAUUAAUACUGAAAAUGGACGUGUUGAAUGCAGGAUAUGGGAGGCUUUCCUAGUGGUUCUUGUGGUUUAUACUGCAUGGGUUUCCCCUUUUGAGUUUGGGUUCUUGAGAAAGCCAAGGCCACCACUUUCUAUCACCGAUAACAUUGUGAAUGGAUUCUUUGCGAUAGAUAUCAUCAUGACGUUCUUUGUUGGUUACCUUGAUAAAUCAACUUACCUCCUUGUCGAUGAUCGUAAAAUGAUUGCCUUCAAGUACUUGCGUUCUUGGUUCGUCCUCGACCUCAUAUCAACUAUCCCCUCAGAGGUGGCUAUGAAAAUCUCAUCCCAGUCUUACGGAUUAUUUAACAUGCUUCGGCUCUGGCGUGUUCGCAGAGUCGGUGCCUUGUUUGCCAGGUAAUAUGUCAAUAACCUUUUAUUAUUUCCUUCUAUUACCAGAAUCUUGACAUUGUCUUUAUAAACAGGCUUGAAAAAGAUCGCAACUUCAACUAUUUCUGGGUCCGGUGUGCAAAACUCGUUUGUGUAAGAUCAUCAAAACAUAAAAAAAAUGUUUCUUUACUUAAGCCACAUUCCUCUCAAGUACUCAUUAAUUGGAUAAUCUUGCAGGUCACGAUUUUUGCGGUCCAUUGUGCUGCAUGUUUCUAUUACCUUAUCGCCGCACGGCACCAUGACCCAGCAAAGACCUGGAUUGGAGCAUCUAACGCAAACUUCCAUGACGAAAGCUUGUGGAUGCGAUAUGUGACUUCCAUGUACUGGUCCAUCACUACUCUAACCACUGUUGGUUAUGGUGAUUUGCAUCCAGUGAACACAAAGGAAAUGAUAUUUGACAUUUUCUAUAUGCUCUUCAACCUCGGGUUAACAGCAUACUUGAUUGGUAACAUGACCAAUUUGGUAGUCCAUGGAACAAGUCGGACAAGAAACUUUGUAAGUUAUCAUUUUCAUCACCUAACUAUAUGUAUAAUAAUUACACGAGGCUAUUAUAUGGCAAUCACAAAAUUGGUUCUCCUUUGGUGUAGAGAGAUACAAUACAAGCUGCUUCAAACUUCGCUCGUAGGAACCAUUUACCACCUCGUUUGCAAGAUCAGAUGCUUGCACAUUUAUGCUUGAAGUACCGAACAGACUCUGAGGGGCUUCAACAGCAAGAGACUCUUGAUGCACUCCCAAAAGCAAUUAGAUCUAGUAUAUCACACUUCCUUUUCUACUCUCUUAUGGAUA